UACGUAGGGGGCAAGCGUUGUCCGGAUUUAUUGGGCGUAAAGAGCGUGUAGGCGGUUAUACAAGUCCGCUGUGAAAACUGGAGGCUUAACCUCCAGACGUCGGUGGAAACCGUAUAACUAGAGCCCGGAAGAGGAGAGUGGAAUUCCUGGUGUAGCGGUGAAAUGCGCAGAUAUCAGGAAGAACACCCGCGGCGAAGGCGGCUCUCUGGGACGGUACUGACGCUGAGACGCGAAAGCGUGGGGAGCGAACAGG
rnacentral:rRNA from 1 species